rnacentral:rRNA from 1 species
GACGAACGCUGGCGGCGUGCUUAAUACAUGCAAGUCGAACGGAAAGGCCCUGCUUUUGUGGGGUGCUCGAGUGGCGAACGGGUGAGUAACACGUGAGUAACCUGCCCUUGACUUUGGGAUAACUUCAGGAAACUGGGGCUAAUACCGGAUAGGAGCUCCUGCUGCAUGGUGGGGGUUGGAAAGUUUCGGCGGUUGGGGAUGGACUCGCGGCUUAUCAGCUUGUUGGUGGGGUAGUGGCUUACCAAGGCUUUGACGGGUAGCCGGCCUGAGAGGGUGACCGGCCACAUUGGGACUGAGAUACGGCCCAGACUCCUACGGGAGGCAGCAGUGGGGAAUAUUGCACAAUGGGCGGAAGCCGGAUGCAGCAACGCCGCGUGCGGGAUGACGGCCUUCGGGUUGUAAACCGCUUUCGCCUGUGACGAAGCGUGAGUGACGGUAAUGGGUAAAGAAGCACCGGCUAACUACGUG